rnacentral:lncRNA from 1 species
GGGGGGUGUGCGCACAUGAUGUGUGUUGACAUCAAUUUUGUCCUCAAAAAUAAAAAUAAUAAUAUUAUACGAAAUACAAAAAAAAUAAAUACCAAAAAAUAAUACAAAAAAAGCAAAAAAAUAAAAAAAAAGAAAAAUAAUUGAGGAUGGCAUUGGUGCCAUCCCCGGCACCACUGCCACCAGGCCCACCACCCAUCACAUACCCUGUUCAUCCUACCCUACUACCAAAAAAUACAGAAGAAAUAAAGAGGCGGGCUCAUGUUUACAUCCCGUGAUCGAGCCCCAUGCCCUUCCCUCCAAACACGUAUGGCUGGAGCUCUAUAAAUAGAGCUCAUAGCGAAGCCAAAACGGACAGAGAAGAAGGAGGGGGAGAUUCUAUAAAAAAAAAC